rnacentral:rRNA from 1 species
UAGGGAAUCUUCCGCAAUGGGCGAAAGCCUGACGGAGCAACGCCGCGUGAGUGAUGAAGGUCUUCGGAUCGUAAAACUCUGUUAUUAGGGAAGAACAAAUGUGUAAGUAACUAUGCACGUCUUGACGGUACCUAAUCAGAAAGCCACGGCUAACUACGUGCCAGCAGCCGCGGUAAUACGUAGGUGGCAAGCGUUAUCCGGAAUUAUUGGGCGUAAAGCGCGCGGAGGCGGUUUUUUAAGUCUGAUGUGAAAGCCCACGGCGCAACCGUGGAGGGUCAUUGGAAACUGGAAAACUUGAGUGCAGAAGAGGAAAGUGGAAUUCCAUGUGUAGCGGUGAAAUGCGCAGAGAUAUGGAAGAACACCAGUGGCGAAGGCGACUUUCUGGUCUGUAACUGACGCUGAUGUGCGAAAGCGGGGGGAUCAAACAGG